CCUCUUACAACUAUUUGGUGACUAAACGUACUGUUGGCACUGGGGGUGUGUCCAACUGCAGAAUUAGCUCUGGGAGGCCCCACAACUUGGGCUGGGGGUGCUCCGGUAUGUGGGAACACCCUCCACGCAAGCUGCCCUUUGCAUCCGUGACCUGCAAUGGUUUCUGUCCCCAGAAUGGGGAUCAGGGACAGGGACAGGUCCAGAGAGGAGGCUGCUCUGGACCUUGGGAAAGCAAUGCCUGUCUGCAAGUGUUUACAGGGAUGCUUUCCCUAAUUAACAUUGUUUCAGUUCACUGCCUCCUCUGUUCUCUGCAGGAAAUAGAAAGCUUGCUUUAGCAUCCAGGAAAUAGAAAAUGUGACUAAAGCCUCCUUGUGACUCUGGCGCCGACUUCCAGGUUUGACUGAGUAACCAAAAGGUCUCUGCUGCCUGGAUUAUUUGCUGAUGUCUCCAAGGGAAGAAGAUACACAGACAGAGCUGGGCUGGGUUUCUUGUCUGAAGAGCUGCUCCCACUCCCAGCUCCACUGUGAGCUACGUGUGUGACCUCAGGGAGAUGUGUCAGCAAACCCAGACUCUGUUUCCUCACUGUAAAGAGAAGGUUAAAAGCCUCUACUGUUGGAUGAUUGCGAGGUUAGGUGAGACAUCAUGUGCAAAAUCACUCUGUAAACUGUGAAGUGCUGUGCCAGUGGUAGUAAUUACUCUUCGUCAUCCCUAGAGUCGGUUUUUCAGCUCACCUGUUUCCUUCAUUGCCUGGCAGCUUUCCUACCUGGGGCAUGUGACUAGGACUGAAAUGCUAGGGAGCCCAGAAAAUCUACUUCCCAGCAAGAGCUGUAAAACAUCCCAUCCUAAUUGAGAGAGACAAAGGAGAACAAUGAGUCAGAGGAGCUCCAGGGGAGCGGCCCGCUCCGACAAGAGGCUUUGCUGAGGCUCCUCUGGCCUUACAACGUCUUACAUGGGUGUGCCAGGGAAUGAAGGCGAGCAGACCCGUGGAAAUCGAUUUGGAACCGGAUCAAUCCCAUCCUCGACUUUGCCAUCCCUCUCUCAGAAUUAUAAACAUAAGAUGAUUACAGCACACUUCCUGCAUGUGCCUUCCAUGUGGCUCCAGUGUCAGCCUCACAAACGCAGACAAAUCUGGGCUGCUCUCCUGGAGGAUGAAAUGCUAUGUGAAGAGAAGCCUCAGCCAUUCCAGACAUUUGAACCAACCCACCUGACACCUCAGACAUAUGAGAAUGAGCCAGAGCCUCCAAAGAAGCUUGGAAAGAAAACAGAACAUGAUGGAGGACAAUGGCCAGUGAUCUAGUGCUGGAAUCAGGAAGACUCAGGAAAAGGUUGUAGAGUUUGGAGGGGCUGGAGGAUGUUGAGAGAUCUUCACCUUCUCAGAUUCCCAGCCUGGAAGACACGCCUCCUCGGCCUGUGGCUCUAGAGAGCAGGGGCUUGGGGAAUCCUGGAGAAGUCCUUCCUCCCCUUUCCCACUCCCGCUCUCCUUUCCUAUCUGCUCUGUGUGUUCUCUGCUGUCCUAUCCCACAGAGCUCUGUGGGAAAAAACACUACAUCAACAACAACAAGAUAAUAAAGGGCAUGUCAAUGAGAGAACA
rnacentral:lncRNA from 12 species